rnacentral:rRNA from 1 species
UACGGGGGGUGCUAGCGUUAUUCGGAUUUAUUGGGCGUAAAGAGCGUGUAGGCGGUUGGGCUAGUCAGAUGUGAAAUCCUUCUGCUCAACGGAAGAAGUACGUCUGAAACUGCCCGACUUGAGUACGAGAGAGGAAAGUGGAAUUCCCAGUGUAGAGGUGAAAUUCGUAGAUAUUGGGAGGAACACCCGUGGCGAAGGCGACUUUCUGGAUCGAUACUGACGCUGAGACGCGAAAGCGUGGGGAGCAAACAGGAUUAGAUACCCCGGUA